rnacentral:tRNA from 1 species
GUUUGCGGGCUUUUCAGGCACCUGCCUUUUAAGCAGGGUGUCCGGGGUUCGAAUCCCCGCUGGAGCACCA